GAUGAACGCUGGCGGCGUGCCUAAUACAUGCAAGUCGAGCGAACAGACGAGGAGCUUGCUCCUUUGACGUUAGCGGCGGACGGGUGAGUAACACGUGGAUAACCUACCUAUAAGACUGGGAUAACUUCGGGAAACCGGAGCUAAUACCGGAUAACAUGUUGAACCGCAUGGUUCAACAGUGAAAGACGGUCUUGCUGUCACUUAUAGAUGGAUCCGCGCCGCAUUAGCUAGUUGGUAAGGUAACGGCUUACCAAGGCAACGAUGCGUAGCCGACCUGAGAGGGUGAUCGGCCACACGGGAACUGAGACACGGUCCAGACUCCUACGGGAGGCAGCAGUAGGGAAUCUUCCGCAAUGGGCGAAAGCCUGACGGAGCAACGCCGCGUGAGUGAAGAAGGUCUUCGGAUCGUAAAGCUCUGUUAUUAGGGAAGAACAAAUGUGUAAGUAACUAUGCACGUCUUGACGGUACCUAAUCAGAAAGCCACGGCUAACUACGUG
rnacentral:rRNA from 1 species